AUGUCCCAGCUUAAGAUGAUCCCACAAUGGUGCUGUGCAUGGCUCAUUACAACAGCUACAAUUCAGUGGAUGGUUGCUGUACAUGGACAUCUGUGGAAAUUCUGUGGCUAAUACAUGCUCAUCAACUCAGUCAGCGUGGGCUGUGGUCAUUUUCCCCAGAAUCAAUGCAGGCAAUGCUUGGAAGCAUCUUCAAGAAGAAUGAUAGAAUGGAUUGCGAUGUUUUCACUGGUGCUGUGCCUUCAAAGUUUCUGACCUAUCAGCUUCCGACGGCAGGGUAGUGGCCUGCUGUGGCUGUGACAGGUGACGGGGGAUGAGGGUUUGACUCCGGAGAGGGAGCCUGAGAAAUGGCUACCACAUCUAAGGAAGGCAGCAGGCACGCAAAUUGCCCAAUCCCAACAGAGGGAGGUAGUGACAAGAAAUAGCAAUACAAGGCAUCCAUGUUUUGUACUUGGAAUGAAUGGCCAGCAGACUUUGCUUUCAGAAUUAAUUGGAGGGCAAGUCUGGUGCCAGCAGCCGCGGUAAUUCCAGCUCCAAUGGUGUAUGUUAGAGUUGUUGCGGUUA
rnacentral:rRNA from 1 species